CUAUUUGAAAAUAAAUUAUUCUGUGCACUAUCUUGACUUAUUCGUUGAAGAAGUACUUUACGAACUUGUUCAGAAAAUAAUAUGAUAAUAUUAUGUAAAAGAAGGGAAAACAGGUGACGGGCCCUCUUCUUCAACCCAUUUAAAAAGCGAUUAGAAUUACAUUGCAAAGGGAUCACCUGUCGAUUAAGGUGUUACUAUGCAUAACACCUGAUAAGCCUGCAAUCGGCUUUGUUUGCCGGGUCGCCAAGUGAUCGGGCGCAUCAUUAUCAACCGAUGCUAAAAAUAUUCCAAAUGGCAAAACACGGAGCAUUAAUCAUGUUGCUGGAACAACAGCUCGGGUAGACAACAAAGAACAAAGGACCAUCGAAAGACCCAUAGUCCAAUCCAGAACAUAACGAAGUCCCCACAUUUUUAUAGAAGUCUAUAAACGUUCUUUUAAACUGAUAAAUAUAUUACAAAAUAUUUUAUGAGAGAG